rnacentral:rRNA from 1 species
UACGUAGGGUGCGAGCGUUAAUCGGAAUUACUGGGCGUAAAGCGUGCGCAGGCGGCUUCGCAAGUCAGGCGUGAAAUCCCCGGGCUUAACCUGGGAAUGGCGUCUGAAACUACGGAGCUGGAGUGUGGCAGAGGGAGGUAGAAUUCCACGUGUAGCGGUGAAAUGCGUAGAUAUGUGGAGGAAUACCGAUGGCGAAGGCAGCCUCCUGGGCAAAAACUGACGCUCAUGCACGAAAGCGUGGGGAGCAAACAGG